rnacentral:rRNA from 1 species
CCUACGGGAGGCAGCAGUGGGGAAUAUUGCACAAUGGGGGAAACCCUGAUGCAGCGACGCCGCGUGAGCGAUGAAGUAUUUCGGUAUGUAAAGCUCUAUCAGCAGGGAAGAAAAUGACGGUACCUGACUAAGAAGCCCCGGCUAACUACGUGCAAGCAGCCGCGGUAAUACGUAGGGGGCAAGCGUUAUCCGGAUUUACUGGGCGGAAAGGGAGCGUAGACGGUCCUGCAAGCCAGAUGUGAAAGCCCGGGGCUCAACCCCGGGACUGCAUUUGGAACUGUAAGGCUGGAGGGUCGGAGAGGCAGGCGGAAUGCCUGGUGUAGCGGUGAAAUGCGUAGAUAUUAGGAGGAACUCCAGUGGCGAAGGCGGCCUGCUGGACGAUGACUGACGUUGAGGCUCGAAAGCGUGGGGAGCAAACAGGAUUAGAUACCCCUGUAGUC